UUUAGCAACAUUUACAAUGGUUGUAAAAUCGUCAUCCAUUAUAAUGACAUCAGCAUUCUCUCUUGCAACCUCUGUUCCUGAUUUGCCCAUUGCAAGUCCAAUGUCUGCCUCAUGCAAAGCGGGAGCAUCAUUGGUCCCAUCACCAGUUACUGCCACAACUUCUCCAAACAUAUUCCUCAAAUUAGUUACCAAGGUGUGUUUGUCCA
rnacentral:misc_RNA from 1 species